rnacentral:rRNA from 1 species
AUUGAACGCUGGCGGCAUGCCUUACACAUGCAAGUCGAACGGCAGCACGGGUGCUUGCACCUGGUGGCGAGUGGCGAACGGGUGAGUAAUACAUCGGAACAUGUCCUGUAGUGGGGGAUAGCCCGGCGAAAGCCGGAUUAAUACCGCAUACGAUCUACGGAUGAAAGCGGGGGACCUUCGGGCCUCGCGCUAUAGGGUUGGCAGAUGGCUGAUUAGCUAGUUGGUGGGGUAAAGGCCUACCAAGGCGACGCUCAGUAGCUGGUCUGAGAGGACGACCAGCCACACUGGGACUGAGACACGGCCCAGACUCCUACGGGAGGCAGCAGUGGGGAAUUUUGGACAAUGGGCGAAAGCCUGAUCCAGCAAUGCCGCGUGUGUGAAGAAGGCCUUCGGGUUGUAAAGCACUUUUGUCCGGAAAGAAAUCCUUGGCCCUAAUACGGUCGGGGGAUGACGGUACCGGAAGAAUAAGCACCGGCUAACUACGUG